rnacentral:ncRNA from 1 species
AAUUCUUCAGGAGAUGGUCAUCCUCCUCUAACAAACCGCCACGAUCGGCUAAUGAUGCCUACGUUUCC